GACGGAGGGGGCAAGCGUUGUCCGGACUCACUGGGCGUAAAGCGCACGUAGGCGGUUGUGUGCGUCGCUGCUGAAAGCGCCAGGCUUAACCUGGCGAGGCGUGGCGAUACGACACGACUAGAGGCAGGCAGAGGGUGGCGGAAUUCCGGGUGUAGUGGUGAAAUGCGUAGAGAUCCGGAGGAACGCCUGUGGCGCAAGCGGCCACCUGGGCCUGACCUGACGCUGAGGUGCGAAAGCGUGGGGAGCGAACCGG
rnacentral:rRNA from 1 species